rnacentral:rRNA from 1 species
AGAGAGUGCGAGCGUUAAUCGGAAUUACUGGGCGUAAAGCGCACGUAGGUGGAUACUUAAGUCGGAUGUGAAAGCCCUGGGCUCAACCUAGGAAUUGCAUUCGAUACUGGGCGUCUAGAGUAUAGUAGAGGGAAGUGGAAUUUCCGGUGUAGCGGUGAAAUGCGUAGAUAUCGGAAAGAACACCAGUGGCGAAGGCGACUUCCUGGACUAAUACUGACACUGAGGUGCGAAAGCGUGGGGAGCAAACAGGAUUAGAGACCCUGGUAGUCCACGCCGUCAACGAUGAGAACUAGACGUUGGGAAAUUUAAUUUCUUAGUGUCGAAGCUAACGCGUUAAGUUCUCCGCCUGGGGAGUACGGCCGCAAGGUUA